AUAGAAUGUAGGCCAUGUGACUUGCCUCUGGAUUGUGGUCACACUUCCCAAAGUCGCAAAGUAGUUCCAAAAGGCAAUUGUAGGUCGAGGCACCAGGAACCAUGGUUCCUGUGCGUGCGACCCGGAGUUAACAGCGAUGGUUUAUGUGCGGCGCACGUGGAGAAGUCGUCAAGGAAAUCUAAGAUCUCGACUUUGAAGACCAGAGAAGAUGAGUUGUAAAAAAGGAAGUACAAGAAGAACUCGGCCUCAGAAAUACCAGAAUUCAACUUCUUACCGAAAUAAUCUUCAUGACAACAGCAAAAAGACAAAGAAGAUAAAUUCCACAGAAGUUGC